AAUAUUGGACAAUGGGGGCAACCCUGAUCCAGCCAUGCCGCGUGUGUGAAGAAGGUCUNCGGUUUNUNAAGCACUUUAAGUAGGGNGGAAGGGCUUUAGGUUAAUACCCUGAAGUUUUGACGUUACCAACAGAAUAAGCACCGGCGAACUAGGUGCCAGCGGCCGCGGUAAUACAGAGGGUGCAAGCGUUAAUCGGAAUUACAGGGCGUAAAGCGCGCGUAGGUGGUUCAGAAGGCUGGGUGUGAAAUGCCCGGGCUUAACCUGGGAGCUGCUUUCAUACCUGCUUAGCUAGUGUACGGUAGAGGGUGGUGGAAUUGCCUGUGUAGCGGUGAAAUGCGUAGAUAUAGGAAGGAACACCAGUGGCGAAGGCGACUACCUGGACUGAUACUGACACUGAGGUGCGAAAGCGUGGGGAGCAAA
rnacentral:rRNA from 1 species